CACACACCCAUCAUCCAGCACACACACACCCAUCAUCCAGCACACACACACUCACACAUCAUCCAGCACUCACACACCCAUCAUCCAGCACACACACACCCAUCAUCCAGCACACACACACACCCAUCAUCCAGCACUCACACACCCAUCAUCCAGCACUCACACACACAUCAUCCAGAACUCACACACCCAUCAUCCAGCACACACACCCAUCAUCCAGCACUCACACACCCAUCAUCCAGCACUCACACACCCAUCAUCCAGCACACACACACCCAUCAUCCAGCACUCACUCACACACCCAUCAUCCAGCACUCACUCACUCACACACACAUCAUCCAGCACACACUCACACA